UACCCAGUCGAGCGGCGAACGGGUGAGUAACGCGUGGAUGACCUGCCCUUAGGUGGGGGAUAACCCGGGGAAACUCGGGCUAAUACCGCAUAACAUCGUGAGAUCAAAGGGGGCGCAAGCUCUCGCCGGAGGAGGGGUCCGCGUCCGAUUAGCUAGUUGGUAGGGUAAUGGCCUACCAAGGCGACGAUCGGUAGCCGGCCUGAGAGGGUGAUCGGCCACACUGGAACUGAGACACGGUCCAG
rnacentral:rRNA from 1 species